rnacentral:rRNA from 1 species
AUUCCUACGGGAGGCAGCAGUGGGGAAUAUUGCACAAUGGGCGGAAGCCUGAUGCAGCAACGCCGCGUGCGGGAUGACGGCCUUCGGGUUGUAAACCGCUUUCGCCUGUGACGAAGCGUGAGUGACGGUAAUGGGUAAAGAAGCACCGGCUAACUACGUGCCAGCAGCCGCGGUGAUACGUAGGGUGCGAGCGUUGUCCGGAUUUAUUGGGCGUAAAGGGCUCGUAGGUGGUUGAUCGCGUCGGAAGUGUAAUCUUGGGGCUUAACCCUGAGCGUGCUUUCGAUACGGGUUGACUUGAGGAAGGUAGGGGAGAAUGGAAUUCCUGGUGGAGCGGUGGAAUGCGCAGAUAUCAGGAGGAACACCAGUGGCGAAGGCGGUUCUCUGGGCCUUUCCUGACGCUGAGGAGCGAAAGCGUGGGGAGCGAACAGGCUUAGAUACCCUGGUAGUCCACGCUGUAAACGGUGGGUACUAGGUGUGGGGUCCAUUCCACGGGUUCCGUGCCGUAGCUAACGCUUUAAGUACCCCGCCUGGGGAGUACGGCCGCAAGGCUAAAACUCAAAGGAAUUGACGGAAU